CCAUGUCAUGUUGAAACAAAACUUCCCGUACGUUCACCGAAGUUAAACAAUAUGGCGCCUGUUCAGUACCUAGGUGUGUGACCGCUUGGAAAUACCAGGUGGUGUAAG